UGAUCAAGUCAUCAUCAAGCUUAAAGUGGUAUUUAUUCAUUUGUGACGCUAUCCUUGAUAUGAUCCUGCUAUUGCCACAUGCUACACAUGCAGAUGUAUCUAUCUAUCCGAUGUUAUCAUGAUUUGAUAUAAGGGAUAUUAUACUUUAGUAAUUCACAAUGAGCUGGUAAUGUAAAAGUCUAAUGACAUUAUCUUCUAUUGUUUGUCCUCAUGUGUCUGUUUUUUUAGCAUAAAGUACUCUGCAGCCACUUAGUGUGGACACCAGCUGUGUUGGUGAACCCCUCCCACAUCUGAACUGGCUGACACAGCAUGAUCAUAGGUAUGUUUUGAUGUGAAAGAGGAAGCCAGUCCCUGCAUCGCCACCUCACCCACUCUUAAAAUAACCUUCGGGCCAACUUAGGAGACCCCGCUAGAGACACUAUGCAAUUGUGAUGAACUGAGAGAAUAUUAGGGUAGCACUGUAAUUCAUUUAUCAUUUGCUGUCUUCCCUGCUCCUCUGCUCUUACCUCUUUUCCUUUGUCUUCUACACCUCUCUCCCCACCUCCUCUUUCUUCCUCUUUUUUUAUAAUGCACACAAUAUGUGCAUUGAAGUACAGAUUGAACGUGUAUUUAUAAUAUAAU
rnacentral:lncRNA from 1 species